UGCUCACUGAUGGUUGGGGAAGGUCGGGCUGCCUCCAAUAAUCAAGCUAAACUGGGUCCUUUGUUACAUGCAGAGAAAUCAGCUUCACGGUAGUUAAUCUUUUUUUCGAUGUGGGGAUCACCAGACCAUCUGGGAAACCUUUCCCACGCACUGUCUCUAUGUCCGGUGACUUUGGGAAGUCCUAAAGGACAACGGGGGAAUUCACCAAGCUUAGGUCGAGUGAGCCUCCCCACCACCCCGGAGCCAGCAUGGGACACAGCUUAACUCAUUUCUUGGAGGAACUUGCCAGUGUGUCCCCAAGAGCCUGGGUGGCAUAGUCUGUGCCCAACUGGUGCCUGAAGCCUACGGGGACUGCACUUCCUGUGCUCCGGACUUCCUCAUAGGUACUUUUCCAUCUGGCUGUUCAUUUGUAUCCUUUAAUAUCCUUUGUAAUAAAUGGACACCAAGUUGGGGAAAGCAGGUAGGGGGACAGGGUGGGAUGAAUUGGGAGAUUGGGAUUGACAUAUAUACACUAAUAUGUAUAAAAUAGAUAACUAAUAAGAACCUGCUGUAUAAAAAAAUAAAUAAAAUAAAAUUCAGAAAAAUAAAAAAAAUAAAUUAUCUAAUAAAAAACCAUUUUCCAAAAAAAAAAAAGAAAAAAAAACCAACAUUUAAGGGUCUAUUGCCACACAAGAUGCGUUACAUACAUUAUCAUGUUAAUCUUGACAAUACAUAUGCAAUAUAUUUAUAUCCUUAAUUUAGAGUUGAGGAAACUGAGUCCCCCCCCAAAAAAAAUGUGACUUCCCAAAAGUAUUCCAACUACUAAAGAUUGGAGCCAGGAUUCCAACCUAUGAUUUCUAAGUCCAUACCCUAGGGCUACUAGACCACUAAGGGUCAUCGUUCCAUCUAUCAUAAGAAGUGGCUGAACUGUCAGCCUAAAAAUGUCUCUAAGGUGAUAAUUUUGCAAGAGAAAAAUGUGCACACAAAUUAUUUAGUAAUAUUCAUGUGACAACAAAUUCUUUUACUGAAAUUUCCACUAUACGUCUUUUACCAUCCCAAUGUCAUGUCAACAUAGCAUACAGAAGUAUCAGGCAUUCUGAAGAGGAGACAAACUCCUCUUCUGACUAAAGCAGUGUCACCAGUAAUAAAGAGAGCAUUUCCUUUUGAAUGGCUCUUCAACUUCACAUAUGAAAACUUGAGCUCAUUUUUCCCCUCCCUCCUUUUAUCUACAGAGGUACACACAGCCCUCUGCUUCUCCAUGGACACAUCUUAGAACUACUCUAACCUUUCCUCUCUCCCUCACACCCCACGUCAAAUCUCACAACGGUACGCAAGAUGAGCAUUAUCCUCAAGUGUUCUGGGGUGGAAUGAACUUACUAAGGAGCAAACACACCUGCUGCAUUAAUAAAUCUUUCCUUAUUUUUGUUUUUGUAUUGUUUAUUUUGGGUUUUUUCCAUAUAUUUCAAUAUUAACAGGAUAAUACUGCAUGGUAACUUCGAUAUGUUUUUAAUUUAGUAUACAUAGAAGGAUAAUAAUUAUUAAAAUUUAGUUCCAAUUAUAUAUAUAUUAAUUCCCACACACAAACACGUGUGUAUAUACUAGGUCACAAUUUUAAAUGUAUUCCUUACUAAGAAUCAUGGUAAAAAAAAAAAUUGAAAAUCAUUGUUCUACAGUAUUUUGCAAAGAGUAAAAAGGAAGAUUACUAAUGUCUGCCCUAAAUACAUGAGCUCUAACAGGAAUAUUGAAAGAAUUGAAGACAGCCUGCUGAAGCAAGAUGGAACUUUAAAUUCUGAGGCCCAACCCAUCAUAUCGUCUGGAGAGAAGAGGGGGAAAUGAUGUCUGAAGAACUUAAGUGACUUGAAUGUGAUAGCAGAGAUAGACACCAGGUCCCCUGAUUCUUACAGUAGCAAACUGGCCCUUUCCACUGUACACUACAGCUAUGUGGAAAAAAAAAAUUAACCUCAAUCCUUACCUUACACUGCAUACAAAAUUUAAGUGGAAAUGAAUCACAGACCUGAAAUUAAGAGCUAAAACCUCAAAACUUCUAAAAGAAAGCACAGGAAAAAAAUUUAAUUGACCUAGAUUUGGCAAAGAUUUCUUACAUAUAACACAAAAAGCACUAACUAUAAUGAAAAAAUUCAAUGAAUUAGACCUCAUCAAAAUUAGACCACAGCAAUCUGACUCAUAAUCACAUGUAAAGAUGUUCAAUGUCCACUGGUCAUUUGGGAAAUCCAAAUUAUAAAUACAAUGAAAUACUACUACACUAGACCGCUGGUAAUACCACCAGAAUGACCUAAAACCAAAAAGACUGAUCAUACCAAGUGUCAGUAAGUAUAUGGAGUAAUUCAAACUCUCAUACUCUGCUGGUGGAAAUGUAAAACUGUAUAAUCACUUGAAACAGUUUAGCAGUUUCUGGAAAAUGUAAACAUAUGCCUACUAUAUGACACAGCCAUUCCACUGCUAGCUAUUCACCAGAGGAAAGAAAGCACAUGUCCACACAAAGAUCUAUACAUGAAUGUUUACAGGCACUUAGUUUGUAAUCGCCAAAAACUUGAAGUUACCCAAAUGUCUAUCAACUGGUGCAUGGAUAAACAAAGUGUGCUAUAUCUUUAAAAUGGAAUAAUUAACAAUAAUAAAAAGGAAUAAACUAUUGAUACAUGCAACAUCA